rnacentral:rRNA from 1 species
UAGCUCUCUGCAACUGUCACAUGGAUGCCCAUUGAAGGUAAGCAGGGCUGUGCCCGGUCAGUACCUGGAUGGGAGACCACAUGGGAAAGCUAGGU